AUUGAACGCUGGCGGCAGGCCUAACACAUGCAAGUCGAGCGGGGUUUUCGGACCUAGCGGCGGACGGGUGAGUAAUGCGUAGGAAGCUGCCCGAUAGAGGGGGAUACCAGUUGGAAACGACUGUUAAUACCGCAUAAUGUCUACGGACCAAAGUGUGGGACCUUCGGGCCACAUGCUAUCGGGUGCGCCUAAGUGGGAUUAGCUAGUUGGUGAGGUAAUGGCUCACCAAGGCGACGAUCUCUAGCUGGUUUGAGAGGAUGAUCAGCCACACUGGAACUGAGACACGGUCCAGACUCCUACGGGAGGCAGCAGUGGGGAAUAUUGGACAAUGGGCGCAAGCCUGAUCCAGCCAUGCCGCGUGUGUGAAGAAGGCCUUCGGGUUGUAAAGCACUUUCAGCGAGGAGGAAGGGUGGUGUGUUAAUAGCACAUCAUUUUGACGUUACUCGCUGAAGAAGCACCGGCUAACUCUGUGCCAGCAGCCGCCGUAA
rnacentral:rRNA from 1 species